ACGUAAUAGAUACCCUGGUAGUCCACGCCCUAAACGAUGUCUACUAGUUGUUGGUGGAGUAAAAUCCAUGAGUAAACGCAGCUAAACGCGUGAAGUAGACCGCCUGGGGAGUACGGUCGCAAGAUUAAAACUCAAAUGAAUUGACGGGGGCCCGCACAAGCGGUGGAUUAUGUGGAUUAAUUCGAUGCAACGCGAAAACCUUACCUGGCCUUGACAUGUAACGAACUUUCCAGAGAUGGAUUGGUGCUCGAAAGAGAGCGUUAACACAGGUGCUGCAUGGCUGUCGUCAGCUCGUGUCGUGAGAUGUUGGGUUAAGUCCCGCAACGAGCGCAACCCUUGCCAUUAAUUGCCAUCAUUUAGUUGGGCACUUUAAUGGGACUGCCGGUGACAAACCGGAGGAAGGUGGGGAUGACGUCAAGUCCUCAUGGCCCUUAUGGCCAGGGCUUCACACGUAAUACAAUGGUCGGUACAGAGAGUUGCCAACCCGCGAGGGGAGCCAAUCUCAGAAAGCCGAUCGUAGUCCGGAUUGUAGU
rnacentral:rRNA from 1 species